GAUGAACGCUGGCGGCGUGCCUAAUACAUGCAAGUCGAGCGAACAGACGAGGAGCUUGCUCCUCUGACGUUAGCGGCGGACGGGUGAGUAACACGUGGAUAACCUACCUAUAAGACUGGGAUAACUUCGGGAAACCGGAGCUAAUACCGGAUAAUAUAUUGAACCGCAUGGUUCAAUAGUGAAAGACGGUUUUGCUGUCACUUAUAGAUGGAUCCGCGCCGCAUUAGCUAGUUGGUAAGGUAACGGCUUACCAAGGCAACGAUGCGUAGCCGACCUGAGAGGGUGAUCGGCCACCCUGGAACUGAGACACGGUCCAGACUCCUACGGGAGGCAGGAGUAGGGAAUUUUCCGCAAUGGGCGAAAGCUUGACGGAGCAACGCCGGGUGAGGGAUGAAGGUUUUGGGAUCGUAAAACUCUGUUAUUAGGGAAGAACAAAUGGGUAAGUAACUAUGCACGUUUUGACGGUACCAAAUCAGAAAGCAACGGCUAACUACGG
rnacentral:rRNA from 1 species